rnacentral:rRNA from 1 species
UUAUGCCCUGGGCGACACACGUGCUACAAUGGGCGGGACAAAGGGUCGCGAUCUCGCGAGGGUGAGCUAACUCCAAAAACCCGUCCUCAGUUCGGAUUGCAGGCUGCAACUCGCCUGCAUGAAGCAGGAAUCGCUAGUAAUCGCCGGUCAGCCAUACGGCGGUGAAUCCGUUCCCGGGCCUUGUACACACCGCCCGUCACACUAUAGGAGCUGGCCAUGUUUGAAGUCAUUACCCUUAACCGUAAGGAGGGGGAUGCCC